rnacentral:rRNA from 1 species
GAGCGGCGGACGGGUGAGUAACGCGUGGGUAACCUGCCCUGUACACACGGAUAACAUACCGAAAGGUAUGCUAAUACGGGAUAACAUAUAAGAGUCGCAUGACUUUUAUAUCAAAGAUUUUUCGGUACAGGAUGGACCCGCGUCUGAUUAGCUUGUUGGCGGGGUAACGGCCCACCAAGGCGACGAUCAGUAGCCGGGCUGAGAGGCUGGCCGGCCACAUUGGGACUGAGACACGGCCCAAACUCCUACGGGAGGCAGCAGUGGGGGAUAUUGCACAAUGGGGGAAACCCUGAUGCAGCGACGCCGCGUGAGUGAAGAAGUAUUUCGGUAUGUAAAGCUCUAUCAGCAGGGAAGAAAAUGACGGUACCUGACUAAGAAGCCCCGGCUAACUACGUGCCAGCAGCCGCGGUAAUACGUAGGGUGCAAGCGUUAUCCGGAUUUACUGGGUGUAAAGGGCGAGUAGACGGGAGAUUAAGUCAGAUGUGAAAACUUAGGGCUCAACCUUAAGACUGCAUCUGAAACUGGUUUUCUUGAGUGCUGGAGAGGUAAGCGGAAUUCCUAGUGUAGCGGUGAAAUGUGUAGAUAUUAGGAAGAACACCAGUGGCGAAGGCGGCUUACUGGACAGUAACUGACGUUGAGGAGCGAAAGUGUGGGGAGCAAACAGGAUUAGAUACCCUGGUAGUCCACACUGUAAACGAUGGAUACUAGGUGUCGGGUGGCAGAGCCAUUCGGUGCCGCAGCAAACGCAGUAAGUAUUCCACCUGGGGAGUACGUUCGCAAGAACGAAACUCAAAGGAAUUGACGGGGACCCGCACAAGCGGUGGAGCAUGUGGUUUAAUUCGAAGCAACGCGAAGAACCUUACCAAGUCUUGACAUCCGGAUGACCGGAACUUAACCGUUCCUUCCCUUCGGGGCAUCCGAGACAGGUGGUGCAUGGUUGUCGUCAGCUCGUGUCGUGAGAUGUUGGGUUAAGUCCCGCAACGAGCGCAACCCCUAUCUUUAGUAGCCAGCAUUUGAGGUGGGCACUCUAGAGAGACUGCCAGGGAUAACCUGGAGGAAGGUGGGGAUGACGUCAAAUCACCAUGCCCCUUAUGACCAGGGCUACACACGUGCUACAAUGGCGUAAACAAAGGGAAGCGAGCCCGCGAGGGGGAGCAAAUCCCAAAAAUAACGUCUCAGUUCGGAUUGAAGUCUGCAACCCGACUUCAUGAAGCUGGAUUCGCUAGUAAUCGCGCAUCAGCCACGGCGCGGUGAAUACGUUCCCGGGCCUUGUACACACCGCCCGUCA